rnacentral:rRNA from 1 species
CGUUCCGCCAGGACUUGUUUCAUUGCGUUGGUGUGUCCAACUUGUAUGACCGGCCAGUUGCAGCCAUCGCAUUUAUGGCCUUCUUGUCUUGUCAUUUUUAGCUCUAUUAUCGUGGGAUCUAGGUGUUUGAACGUGUCUUACAUUACAAAAUCAGGUUUAGAACGUUUUACAAUGACUCCUGAGGGUGUUGAACUGUGGAAUACACUACAAAACCAGGUGUCGGUUAGUGUCGCACUGUUCACCGUCAGGUCUCCCACCUGGCCAGUCGAGAACGUUAAAAGGUGUUUCCGGGGACGGCAAAGGAACUAAGUCGUUACAAUGUCUCGAGUACUGGUUCUAGCGAUGCUGCGGUUGAUGUGAGAUGAGUUGUUGUCCAAACGUACGUUUACGCUACGUAAACUAGCUAGACCAAUCGAUGGACCCAAGAGCCUCUCGUACUCCAACCACUCCUCGAACGCGGACUAGACGACGCGGAGCAAGUGGAGCGCCUCCUUCUAACGCAAGAGAACCUGCGGGAACUGCAACUUCCACUCGCCGAGCCGCGGCGACCGCUAGUGUUCGAACAGCAUCCGGUGGGACUUCGCCAUCCCCAACCACCCGUCGACGAGCGGCGGCCGGCGGUGGCACGUCAUGUGGAGCACGAAGGCGCACAGCUACGGCCACGUCAACCGCUCCUUCUUCAUACUAGGCCCCGCCCACCGCUCGCGGCCGACCUACGCCGACUGCCCGAGGUGGUGCCUGGCCUUGAGGUCGCACGGCUGCAGCUGCGUUCGUCGGAGCGUCCCCGGCGCCCCUCGUCGGAGUGUCCCCAGCGCGACUACGGAGACGAGCCCGGCAUCUCUACCGGGCGGCGCGGGCGCGGCGUGAACAGCCGCUCCGGCUGCGUGCGCUCCGACACCUUGCUGCUGCGCCGCACCGCCGAGGCGAUGCAACGUGGCUAUGCCGCUAUGCUAGUGCGGGAGGUCGAGGGCCGUUGGGAGGUUGGGGGGUUGGUUGGCUGGAGAGCUAGCUAGCAUCGUCGAAGAGGAAAAAGCUACCGCCACCUAGACUGGGGCUCCGUCGGCCGGUUCCGGAUGCCGCCGCGGAUGAUGCUCACCUCGGGGCGGCUCGACGGGUACGAGCCGCAGCGGAGGUAGCCGCGGCGGUUCGAGAGCGAGCGGCGGCCGCCGUACAGCGAAGGGUCGAUGAGGCUGAGGCGGUUCCAGCGGAUGCAGGAAGUCCUAUACGUAUGGUGGCUAGGUAGCUAGGGGAGAGCGUCUGAGGGUGGGGGGGAGGGUCGCGCUAGCGACAGACCAGACACGCCCUGGGCUUAAGACGAAGCCAGCAUCUGCCAGCGCCCAACUAGCUUAGACAAACAAAGUCAUAGAUCAAGUCUAGCUUUCGUCGUCGGCUAACCUUAACCUGUCUCAGAGUCCAGAAGAUUUAAUAUACAGACAGAUGAUGUGCCACACCAGUCAAGACUUUAGCACGAUCAACAAGUCAGAGCAGUCAAGUCAAAUUGUUUUUGCUUGUCAUAACGCUACGAAAUGACUUAACAACUACCAGCGUAUACUUAGAUCGAACAACCAAAGUCUGACUUAAAAAACACCAUCGCCCAAUUAGACAUUGAAUCUAGCUAACGAAGACAUUUAACCAAAGUCUAUCCGCGUUCGAGGAGUGGUUGGAGUACGAGAGGCUCUUGGGUCCAUCGAUUGGUCUAGCUGGUUUACGUAGCGUAAGUGUACGUUUGGACAACAACUCGUCUCACAUCAACCGCAGCAUCGCUAGAACCAGUACUCGAGACAUUGUAACGACUUAGCUCCUUUGCCGUCCCCGGAAACACGUUUUAACGUUCUCGACUGGCCAGGUGGGAGAUCUGACGGUGAACAGUACAACAUUAACCGACACCUGGUUUUGUAGUGUAUCCCACAGUUUAACACCCUCAGGAGUCAUUGUAAAACGUUCAAAACUUGAUUUUGUAGUGUAAGACACGUUCAAACACCUAGACCCCACGAUAAUGGAGCAUUUUUAGGUACUUAGGCCCCCUUACCCUUUCGUUGAGACAGACGAGACCAAAUGGUAGGUAGUAGUAUGUUCACUUACGUACAAGUCCAACUUCUGUUAGUAGGUCCGGUCUAAUUUUUCCCGAUUAUGAGUAGGUAGUAGGAUAUAUUAGUAGACAGUAAGUCGCCAAAGAGUAACUGACCUUGACGUAUGGUCGGAGGUACUUGGUCUACCCACGACGACGAAGUGCGAAAGAACGAUGCAGCGACAGACGCGCUCGGACACCUGAACCGAUCGAGUUCCUCUUUGAUUUCCAAAGGGGGCCGUCGUCCUCUCGGUGACCGCGCGUGUAGCAGCAAGUAGUGGUCGAUCGCUUCGUUUGUUCCUCGAGUCUUUCUCCGCCGGCGCCGGCCGGCCGGUAGGCCAGCGACAGGCUGUCGAGGAUCUGUCGCCGCAGCUGGCGCGGGCCGGCCGCGGCUCGAUCGAUCGGGUUGCUGUUGGACGGGUACUCCGUUGGUACGAGAAGGAGAAGUGUUUCAUGAAUAGGUCCCCGUCGUUCUUGCGCCGUCGGCCGCUGCUGCUGUCCUCCGUCUCCGUCUUCGUCUUCGUCGCGCUCUACGGCCGCCGCAGCCGUAGCUUACCCCGACGCCUGGCGCUCGUGCCCACGUACGGGCCGACGCACGGCCACGCGCGGUUCGCCUGCCGGUGCCAAUGCUGGCAGUGCUGGUGCAGCCGCUCCUGCAGCGCCGUGUUGAAGCAGUCCAGUCGCCGCAGCCCCGACAAGGGGCCCCGCGGCCACAAGUGGUUGGUGCUCAGGGAGGGCGGCGAGGGACUCCGGAUGAGCCUCAAGCGGAGGCGCAAGGGCGUCAUGCCGCCCGAUCGGCCGAGCCGCCUGCGCUAGUCCCUGCCCCUCAUGUCCGUGGAGCUGGCGGUGCAGACGGACCUGAUGUUGCCCUACUUGGAGAAGAGGGUGCGCGUCUACUUGAGCAGCGACGGCAGGUGCAGUCGAGGCCGCCUCGGCAGCCGCACCGUCGGGGGGAAGAAGCUGUAGCGCAUGUCCAGCCGCUCGGACGCCAGCGUCCACGUCGUUACGCCCCUGCCGUGACGGCGGCGUAGGCGCCGCCCCCCGUAGUCGCCGCGGCAGUGCUCCGCGUAGUACCGCAGGGAAUUCUAGGGGCUCCUGCUCAUGUGGUACCACACGUGCCGCUUGGCCUGGUGCCGGAAGGCCGACGACCGUCUUAGGAUGAGGAAGUGAGGGCCGCCGCCGUCCUUCUUCGACGAGAGGCACAUGCUGAUGCUCUCGCUCCGCCACCCACGGUACCGAGUCUCGCGCGCGUCGGCGCCGCGCCUCCAGUACUUGCGCUCGAAGCGCACCGGCUCGUACGCGCAGGUGCGGCGCCUGGAGGCGUUUUUCGACGAGGCACCCGCCGCCGCCGUCGCGCCGGCGCCCGAGAAGCACAAAGGCGACCACAGGGCGUACUGGCCGCGCUCCAUGGGCAUGGAGACCUACUCGCGGCGCCGCCUCGUCCCCACCGUGCACCGCGACCUGCGCACGCGCGAGCCGCGGUUCCUGGAGCUGUGGGAGCCGGAGAGGGAGGAGGCGGGCCUGAAGUAGCAGACGUUGAAGAAGUUCCACAAGCCGCUCUUGGGGAGCCCGAAGCGGCCCGACAAGCAGUUCUUCCGGUCGGAGCCGCGCGAGCUCGCGAGGCGCCAGCGCGCGUCGUAGCCGUAGCAGUCGUAGCAAGGCCGCGCCGCCACCAGCGAGGCGCUGCUGAUGAGGUGGCUGGACCUCGUGAGCGAGUGGAAGGGGUUUCACCGGCUGGGCGGCUGCCGCCUGCUACAGCUAUGGUGGUCGAGUAAAAGGCCGGGCGAGUCGCGGUGGCGGUGGCCAGCGUGCUGGCUGCUCCGGCUCUUGCCGCUGUGCGGCCUUUAAACGCUCCACCUGGCAUCCGGUAGGCUUCGGCUUCUUCCGUCAGCCGGUACCGGCGGCGGUCGUCGUCAUCUUCGUCUCCUCCUCGCGUACGACCUCCACCUCACGUCCCCCGACCUGGUGCGCCUGCGCGACCCGGAGUAGCGGUAGCCGUUGGCCGACGCCACGUAGUCGUUGACCGACCACCACCGCUACGUCUUCGACGCCGUGGGCGUGGGCCUCGUGCCGCCGCCCUUCGUCGACCACGCCCACAUGCCUGGCGCGCAGUUCAAGCUCGCCCCUGGGAGCGACCGCAAGUUGCACAUGCUGACCUUCCCCCUCUUCCACCGCGGCCGCGACCACGUCUUCGAACGGCUGGCCGUCCGGUAGAGCGAGUGGACGCCGAAGGACGCCUUGUAGACCAAGCGGCUGUUCAUGCUCCGGCUGUCCUCGCGGCAGGAACUCGUCCGUUCGCUGCCGCUGCCGCCGCCGCUCCACCCCUAGGUGCACCACUUACGCAGCGACCCCAAGAACUCGUUGAAGCUCCUGCGCAUGUUCGACACCCGCAAGCACCGGUUCAAGAACCUGCGGCUGAAGCACCUCUUCCUCUCCACCUCCAUGUGCCGCGAGUUGGUCUUCUGGCAGCUUCAAAUCCAGCGGUGGCGGUACAAGCAGCGACCGGCCGGGCCAUAAUCAAGACCAGUGACGCAGUAAACGAGUGCUGCGGUAAAAACACCCUAGUCGAGCUGGCCUGACUGUCCCUUUCUCGAUGAGAGAAACAGUCUCUCUCAACAUCGCGAAGACGAAGACACACUUGACAAUUUUACAUCUGAGAAAGCACCCACCCACCUCCCAAGCAAGAAGACAUCACGUAAACCUUUAUGUCCGUUGGUAACCAUUCCCUUUCCUAUCGAGUCCGCGAGAUAGACGGGCUAGUGGUAUUCAGGUAUUGUUGGCAGGUAUAUUGCUAAAUCGGCUGUUUCAACAAAAUUGGUCAAGGGAUUUGCGUAGUUCCCUGCUAUGAGACGGUAGAUAGCUCGCCUGAAAAGACCUGACCGCUAUACGACAUAGAGUCGAAGGAAGGAGACAAGAAGGGAUUAAGGAGGGGAUUAGGAAAUAGAGGAGACAGGGUAGAGGAAAGAGAAAGGGUUAGGUAGUCGGUACACCAACCAGGGAGACCUAGACGGAACAGGCCACUGCUAGGGGACGAGGAGAGGGCGACGGGACAAGAAGGAGAAGGAACGGGCAAGGGACGGAUAGAGUUGGGCUAACCUAGGUAGGGUAGAGGAAAGAACUCAGCUAAGGAGCGAAGAGGUUCGACCUAGACCGUCGACGGAAAGUCUAGGUUGAUGACCUCGGUAGGAGUACAAAGACGCGGCGGCGACAAAGGUAAACCGACUACGGGUUCGGAGUUAGGUUGCUCGGAGAACGAGACGACGUCAUCGUGGCGGUGGCAGCAGAGAGGCCAGGUCCCGCGAAUCAGGGUCUAAUCGACUCGGCAACUAAUUCUAGUCAUGGAGUUGAUAACGACGUGGUAUCAAAAGUUGGACGGUGCCGGCGUAGUAUGACGAUAAACAAACUCUCUAACCCACGGUACUUUCGGUAACGAACCUUAACGGCUCCAUACCCAGCCUUGGAACCGUUACUAGCAUACCAGAAAGACCGGUUGAACUAAGCAAGGUGAUUUCGCGUCUCCACGAAGUCCUCCCGAGACCGAGUACACCUUACUACUCGAGUUUCAAAGACAAAUAUCACGAAGGAAAGUGACACAAGAUCGAUUACAUCAAGUGGAUCAGAGUCCUCAAGUUAAAACAAACUAGACAUAUAUACCACUGGGGAUAGUAUCCGUCUAAUGACGGUAAACCUCAGUUCAAAGUAGAAAACAAAUACUAGUAGACCCAUACGGGUACUACACAUACCCACUAGAAUUGCUGUAGAACAUACUAUGCCUACCCGUAUUACCGUUACAAUUAAUGAUAGCAUACUGAUGAAAAGCAAGCGAACAAUUUUUAACACCAAAGAAACUAUAUCCGAAAUCACCAGGACGCAUAUGAACCGCAUCAUUCGUCGUGUGAGGAAUAGGGUAAAUGUCCGCGGAACUAGCAACGAACCAAUUAAGACUUACCACAUACGUAAUAGGAUUAUGGUUCCAAGAAUUAAACGGAUAAUAGGAGUCACUAGUACGAGGGUAAAAUCAUAGAUGACUACCGUUAAAACAAUCCGGGUUCGUUUGCAAAUUUAAACUUUUGACCACCAACUACCUCUUCCUGAAGUAACUAAAACGAUUUAGACGAACCUUGUUAACAAGUGAAUGAAGAAAACGUCGGUUUUGGAGAAGAAACCGUCCGAGAAAUUUCUACACCACGUCCUUUUUUUUUCGGAGAGGUCGUGCUAGAAAGCCUUGAACUUCGCUUGUAAUUAGUUGAAGUCGUUGUGGGUGACGUCGUCGUCCUAGUACGAAAUCUUUCGAGAGAUUGAGAGUCCAUACUUGUUUGCGAGAGGUUCGAAUUAGUUAAAAUAUUCAUCGCUUCAUUCUUUCCAACCCAACACCGACCCCUGGCAUUAUGAUUUAAGAAAGUAGUCAGCCAUCAAUUCGCCUCUUUCUCUUUAUGAUAAACGAGACAAUUUCUACUCUUACUACACGAAGUAAAGUUUGGAAGACGAUAAUGCUUGUGUAAACAGUUAAUGAAAGCAAUGUAGAAGAGAAGAGGCUUACUAUUGAGACUAUCUGGAAUAGAAUGGUGAGUUACCGGAUUACUAAGAAGCCUAGGAUGGAUACGAUAAGGACUAUUUGUACUUCAAAACGUCUAAGAGUUUCUGUACUUCAAUUUACGGAGAGGCCCUGGUCUACCAAAAUUACAACUUAAGAUAAACCGACGAACCCUAACCUAUCCUCUCCUCCAAUGCGUUGAACACCGGUUGAAAAUGUAGUGGCUAUAAAACGGAGGAGUAUAAUUACUGUGUUCAUAACGAGAAUAGGGGUUUUUCGAACAGGGAGUUCAAGGAUACCUGAUAGCAGGAUAAUCAGAAACAUUACAACAAAUAUUUUAGUAAUGCUUUAGCGAACGAUUAUCCUAAUUCGGAGUAGAAGGACUAAUGUAUCUAGGGCGAGUCGUUCGAAAGUAACUCCCAUCUUCCUAAUCACUGUUAUAAUAAUAACGAGUUCUCUAAUGAGUGAGGAAGAGAGAUUUUAGAACCUUUGUGUUACGAAAGUACGAAUUUUAACUAGAACGAUUUCGAAAACUAGCAAAUCUUACCUUAAAAUAACGAAGACGAGAACGUGCUUUUCCCAACGUACGAGUAAAGUAAUUAAACCAAAUACGAACAUAUAGAAGAGGGUGCAAAAGAUACAACUAGUUACCGGUCGGGAGCGUGUUCAAAUUUUCAAAAGCUCCAUAAACAGUUCCAACAGGAUACAGGGGCAUAAACAAACAUUAACGAUAUUUACUUAAUAGAUAACGAGAAUUGCUUCGCGAACAACGAGUAGUGGAAGUACCUUAAAGAGAACCAGGUUUAACGGGGAGAUAGGUGAGAGAGAAUAAACGACUACUGAACAACCAAACACCCGUCCGAUGAGAGGUUCUCCGAGUACGAUACCGGUUAGACUAAGUCGUGAAAACAAGAUAGAGUCCGGUUUGCGAUUGAUCCGGUUUAGACGGUAAGAAAAAUCGAGAGUACAGGGAUUAUGAUGAUACGUCCUCUAAUUCGUUUAGAAAGAUCAAAGAUUAAACCUAUCAUUAAAGUGGGUGGAACCAGUAGGCGAACAAGAAGGACGAUUUUUAUCUCAACGACGAAUAUUGAAACAAUAACUGUUUAAAAACUUAUUCGACGGGUGAAUAUUUCGGUUGUACGAAAGAGUACGACGAUCCGAACUUAAUUAAGCAAGCCAAAAGAGCCGAUAAGGACAGAUAAUAUACCGAUUAUAGAACAAAUGAUUCUUUGAGUAACGAUUUGAGUGUCGAUAAUAAUCCUUGAAGACCACCUGUCCACACGCUCUUUUACUAAGAUUCUUCUCAGAAACAGAAUCUCGAACCUUCCUAUAAACGUUAAGAUUUCUACUUCCACCAGACCCGUAUUUCUUAGACUUCCGGUAAUUACUCUCGGAAGAAGACCGACGACACACCUCCAAUCGGUUUGAAGGAAGAAGAGUGAACAUAGAACACGAAUUCAGAUUCAUAAAAGUACUAUGAAGAUAAACCUUUCGAUGACGUUGAGGAGGAUUUAGACGAAAAACCCGAAGAUAAAACUUUUACAAUGGGUUAGAAUUCCGAGUAAGAAAGAUAGUUAAUUGAGUUCCAUCGUAAUGUUAAACCUCGUACGGAACCACACGAGUAACCCUAUGAUAGGUACUAGUAGAGUAAGGUGUCGUUCGACCGAAAUCAAUAGGGAGAAAUCAAUCUCUAGAGACCGAAGGCCCCGUUUUUUGAACCUUAGUCCUGAAACAAAAGAGCGAAAAAGCCGUCGGAUAACGAAGAGAGUAACAAUUUUGACUAUAAUAACUACUACUACCUGGCCUAAACGAAACAACCCUAGAAUGAGGAUUACCGUAAACGAGACGUUUCAGACGAAUGUUCGAAUUAAACGUCGUCUAAAUAUGAUUAGGGUCUUUACACGGACAACGAUAAGGGAACCUAAACUUUUUAGAAGAAUUCAACUAAACCUUUGUUUUUUGAUACGAAGGAUCCCACGUUUGAAAACGGACCUCUAAUGAAUCUUUCCGAAAUGGAUGACCGAACGCACGACCAGCAAAGAGCUAAGUGUAAAGAGUCUAUACAACAGCUACACCAGUCGUCCUCCUACUCAAAGUAGGAAAGAAGGAAACAGUAAAACGAGCACACCGGACCAAAAGGAGAGGAACCAAAGAGUCUAGACUUCAAAAUGAAGUUCCGGUAAGAUGCUACGUAAGUCACGAAUAACGAGAGUAAGUUUACCUGGUGGGUUUACCAAGAUAAGGUUUAUAGGAGUUAAAAGACACCACGGAAACCUUUCGUGCAUUACUAAAAGAAAAACUAUCUUUCUUUCGUGAAGGAAUGGUUCAAUUAUAACGUCGAUAACGAAAUUUAAACCUGAAACUACCACAAGAAAGUACGGAAACAUUAUUCGUUGUCGUCCAAGUUCCACUUGUAAGAUAACCGUUAGUACAAGGAAACGUUCCAUGAUGAGAAUUCAGACUAAACAAUUAACAACCUGGCUUUUAUAAAAGACUACGUCGAAAGUCUAGUUUAUUUCAGGGACCGGAAGGUGUUCCUCUCCAACGGUGUCCACAACCUUAAAAGUAGAGUUAAGGUAGACUGGUUCCUCUUUAGUUACAAGUUCAAGUUCGGAGCCGAAGCAGAUGAAGAUGAGGAAACGUUCGACUUCGGUAACGAGAAUGAAGACGACGAGUAUAACGGAGAGUCGAAUUAUAACGAGUAGGUUAAAAAAAUUGACUGAUAGAAAGAGAACGAUUCACACGACGAGACUCUUUGUGGAACCUAAGGAGAUAAGGAACCUUAUAAUCUUUCCUAGACCGGUAGAAGAAAUUUGUGUGAAGACGAAACGUAGGAUUCCACAAAGUAUAAAGCUCUCUUUAAUUACCCUAACGAGUACUAGAACGCGUUGUCCAAAAAUCUAGAUGACCCUUGUGAGUUCAAACAACAAAACGAGUUUUGGUGAGAAGAUAUAGGACAGUACAACACAGGGAGUAUAGUUUAGAAGUUUAAGGACCACAAUUCAAUGUGUGACAAGUGACGAUAAUCAAGAAACAUAAAACCAAAGUCCGGAGAAAGGAUAAAUGCGACGAUACAACACAAACGAGAAAUUCAAAAAGUCGAUGUCCCCGGAAUUUCGAUAGUACCCAAACCUGAUGAUCUCUACGUUUCUUGGAGAAAACACAAAAACGUCCUAUACUAGUCUUUGAAACCCCUUCAAUGUCCCGCUAAAUCUCCCACGUGUUUUCACUUCUAUCCCCUACUACGACGUAAAUUAGAGAUAGAGCUAGAUUAACGACGAAGUAGAAGAGACAUAGACAGUCUAAUCAUCUCGUACAAGAAAAGAGGAAACUGACGGAACCGUAAAACCAGUACAACAAGUAGUCGCCCCUAAGAACGAGGAAACGACAGAAGUUCCUGAAGAAAAGUCGAGAUCGAAGAGUCUAAGACGACGAGAAAGAAAGGGUAAAGAACCGUCUAGAACAUGG